rnacentral:rRNA from 1 species
UACGUAGGCAGCAAGCGUUGUUCGGAGUUACUGGGCGUAAAGGGUGUGUAGGCGGUUGUUUAAGUUUGGUGUGAAAUCUCCCGGCUCAACUGGGAGGGUGCGCCGAAUACUGAAUGACUAGAGUGCGGGAGAGGAAAGUGGAAUUCCUGGUGUAGCGGUGAAAUGCGUAGAUAUCAGGAGGAACACCGGUGGUGUAGACGGCUUUCUGGACCAUAACUGACGCUGAGGCACGAAAGCGUGGGUAGCAAACAGG